rnacentral:rRNA from 1 species
AUUGAACGCUGGCGGCAUGCUUUACACAUGCAAGUCGAACGGCAGCGCGGGCUUCGGCCUGGCGGCGAGUGGCGAACGGGUGAGUAAUACAUCGGAACGUGCCCAGUAGUGGGGGAUAGCUCGGCGAAAGCCGGAUUAAUACCGCAUACGACCUGAGGGUGCAAGCGGGGGAUCUUCGGACCUCGCGCUAUUGGAGCGGCCGAUGGCCGAUUAGCUAGUUGGUGGGGUAAAGGCCUACCAAGGCGACGAUCUGUAGCUGGUCUGAGAGGACGACCAGCCACACUGGGACUGAGACACGGCCCAGACUCCUACGGGAGGCAGCAGUGGGGAAUUUUGGACAAUGGGCGAAAGCCUGAUCCAGCAAUGCCGCGUGUGUGAUGAAGGCCUUCGGGUUGUAAAGCACUUUUGGCGGGAACGAAAAGGACUGUGCCAAUACCACGGUUCGAUGACGGUACCCGCAGAAUAAGCACCGGCUAACUACGUG